rnacentral:rRNA from 1 species
UACGAAGGGUGCAAGCGUUACUCGGAAUUACUGGGCGUAAAGGGUGCGUAGGUGGUUUGUUAAGUCUGCUGUGAAAUCCCCGGGCUCAACCUGGGAAUGGCAGUGGAUACUGGCAAGCUAGAGUGCGGUAGAGGGUAGUGGAAUUCCCGGUGUAGCAGUGAAAUGCGUAGAGAUCGGGAGGAACACCAGUGGCGAAGGCGGCUACCUGGACCAGCACUGACACUGAAGCACGAAAGCGUGGGGAGCGAGCCGG